UACGAAGGGGGCUAGCGUUGCUCGGAAUCACUGGGCGUAAAGCGCACGUAGGCGGCUCUUUAGUCAGAGGUGAAAUCCUGGGGCUCAACCCCAGAACUGCCUUUGAUACUGAGGAGCUUGAGUCCGGGAGAGGUGAGUGGAACUGCGAGUGUAGAGGUGAAAUUCGUAGAUAUUCGCAAGAACACCAGUGGCGAAGGCGGCUCACUGGCCCGGUACUGACGCUGAGGUGCGAAAGCGUGGGGAGCCAAACAG
rnacentral:rRNA from 1 species